UACAGAGGGGGCAAGCGUUGUUCGGAAUUACUGGGCGUAAAGGGCGCGUAGGCGGCCUUCUAAGUCGAACGUGAAAUCCCCGGGCUCAACCCGGGAACUGCGUCCGAUACUGGAAGGCUAGAAUCCGGGAGAGGGAUGCGGAAUUCCAGGUGUAGCGGUGAAAUGCGUAGAUAUCAGGAGGAACACCGGUGGCGAAGGCGGCUCUCUGGACAGACACCGACGCUGAGGCACGAAAGCUAGGGGAGCAAACAGG
rnacentral:rRNA from 1 species